AACGAACGCUGGCGGCAUGCCUAACACAUGCAAGUCGAACGAAGCAGCAAUGCUUAGUGGCAGACGGGUGAGUAACGCGUAGAUAAUGUGCCCUCUUGCGGGGGAUACCGUUUCGAAAGGAACGUUAAUACCGCAUAAAGUCCUUAGGAGGCAUCUCUUAGGGAUCAAACUUCCGGGGCGGGAGGAGCAAUCUGCGUACUAUCAGCUAGUUGGUGAGGUAAUGGCUCACCAAGGCUACGACGGUUAACUGGUCUGAGAGGAUGAUCAGUCACACUGGAACUGAGACACGGUCCAGACUCCUACGGGAGGCAGCAGUGAGGAAUAUUGCACAAUGGGCGAAAGCCUGAUGCAGCGACGCCGCGUGGAGGAUGAAGGAUUUCGGUCUGUAAACUCCUGUCAGUAGGGAAGAGAAUGGACGGUACCUACUGAGGAAGCUUCGGCUAACUACGUGCCAGCAGCCGCGGUAAU
rnacentral:rRNA from 1 species